UACGUAGGGGGCAAGCGUUGUUCGGAUUUAUUGGGCGUAAAGAGCGUGUAGGCGGCUUUACAGGUCCGUUGUGAAAACUCGAGGCUCAACCUCGAGACGCCGGUGGAAACCGUAAAGCUAGAGUCCGGAAGAGGAGAGUGGAAUUCCUGGUGUAGCGGUGAAAUGCGCAGAUAUCAGGAAGAACACCCGUGGCGAAGGCGGCUCUCUGGGACGGUACUGACGCUGAGACGCGAAAGCGUGGGGAGCGAACAGG
rnacentral:rRNA from 1 species